rnacentral:rRNA from 1 species
CAAGCGGUGGAGCAUGUGGUUUAAUUCGAUGCAACGCGAAGAACCUUACCUGGUCUUGACAUCCACAGAAUCUUGCAGAGAUGCGAGAGUGCCUUCGGGAACUGUGAGACAGGUGCUGCAUGGCUGUCGUCAGCUCGUGUUGUGAAAUGUUGGGUUAAGUCCCGCAACGAGCGCAACCCUUAUCCUUUGUUGCCAUUGGUUCGGCCGGGAACUCAAAGGAGACUGCCGUUGAUAAAGCGGAGGAAGGUGGGGACGACGUCAAGUCAUCAUGGCCCUUACGACCAGGGCUACACACGUGCUACAAUGGCGUAUACAAAGGGAGGCGACCUCGCGAGAGCAAGCGGACCUCAUAAAGUACGUCUAAGUCCGGAUUGGAGUCUGCAACUCGACUCCAUGAAGUCGGAAUCGCUAGUAAUCGUGAAUCAGAAUGUCACGGUGAAUACGUUCCCGGGCCUUGUACACACC